rnacentral:rRNA from 1 species
AUUGAACGCUGGCGGAAGGCCUAACACAUGCAAGUCGACAGAGUGGCGGACGGGUGAGUAAUGUCUGGGAAACUGCCUGAUGGAGGGGGAUAACUCCUGGAAACGGUAGCUAAUACCGCAUACCAUCAGAUUUGCCCAGAUGUGAUUAGCUUGUUGGUGGGUUAACUGCUCACCAAGGAGACGUUCCCUCGCUGGUCUGAGAGGAUGACCAGCCACACUGGAACUGAGACACUGGCCAGACUCCUACGAGAGGCAGCAGUGGUGAAUAUGGCACAAUGGGCGCAAGCCUGCUGCAGCCAUGCCUAGUGUAUGAAGAAGGCCUGCGGGUUGUAAAGUACUUUCAGCGGGGAGGCGUUACCCGCAGAAGAAGCACCGGCUAACUCCGUGCCAGCAGCCGCGGUAAUAC